rnacentral:misc_RNA from 1 species
GAAAUGCGAUAAGUAAUGUGAAUUGCAGAAUUCAGUGAAUCAUCGAAUCUUUGAACGCACCUUGCGCUCCUUGGUAUUCCAUGGAGCAUGCAUGUUUGAGUGUCACGUUACACUUCGCCCCUGCGGCCUUCACUGGCCGCACGUGGUGGACUUGGACCGUGCCGUGUCCGGCUCGUCCUGAAAUGCAUUAGCUGGUGUCGCCCUGGGUGCGCUCCCGGCAAGCGGUGUGAUAAUUAUCUGCGCCGUCUCUGCCUGCCGCCCUCCCGCUUUCGCCGCUUCCAACCGUCCCUAUCGGGACAGCUUACUUUAAAGCUCUGGCCUCAAAUCAGGUAGGACUACCCGCUGAACUUAA